rnacentral:lncRNA from 1 species
CCGCCGUUCCUUCCUCGGCAAGGGUGUCGCCGGCCUCGCGCCCGUGCGGUGAGUGUUAGCCCAACCGAUCGUAUCGUAUCGUGCCCCGUCGCGCGAGGUUGUUAGGGGGACCACAGUUUUCCCAUAGGGUUGGGAUCUCUCCUGCGACGAUAUCCUCGACUCGCGAUGCGACCGCUCGAUCGAAGCGCGCACGUCGCCGAUUCACUCACCCUAUGCAUCCCCUCCUCGUUUCCGUCCACAGCCCCGCCGUCAGGUCCGUCGUCGUGCGCGCCGCCGCCGAGAAGGUGAGAGCGGAACCCGAGCCCACCCCGCCCCCCCUUGCCAAAACGCGACGAUCGCAGAAGUAGCCGAGAGGAGAAAUCAUCGACUCGUCGACAGCCGCUGACCGAUACGCCCCCUCCCCGAACCCCAAUCGUCACAGGCCCAGGUCAUCAAGCCCCUCAACGGCGACCCCUUCAUCGGUAUGCUCGAGACCCCCGUGACGUCCGCGCCCAUCGUCGCCAACUUCCUCUCCAACCUCCCCGCGUACCGAACCGGCGUGAGCCCCCUCACCCGCGGCGUCGAGGUUGGCCUGGCGCACGGCUUCUUCCUCACCGGCCCCUUCAUCAAGCUCGGCCCGCUCCGCUCCACCGACGCCGCCGAGCUCGCGGGUUGCCUCUCCGGCGCCGGCCUCGUGCUCAUCCUCACCGCGUGCCUCUCCAUCUACGGCGCCACCGCCUUUCAGACCCCGGAUGUCGUCGGCGUGAAGACCCUCUCCGGCCGCGACAUUGCGCGCGAUCCGGUGCAGUCCUCCGAGGGCUGGGCGAAGUUCACCUCCGGCUGGCUCGUCGGCGGCCUCUCCGGCGUGGCCUGGUCCUACUUCCUCACCCAGGUCCUC